rnacentral:rRNA from 1 species
GGAGUGGAGCCUGCGGCUUAAUUUGACUCAACACGGGAAACCUCACCCGGCCCGAACACUGUUAUGACAGACAGGUUGAGAGCUCUUUCUCGAUUCAGUGGUUGGUGGUGCAUGGCCGUUCUUAGUUCGUGGAGCGAUCUGUCUGGUUAAUUCCGAUAACGAACGAGACUCUUGCCUGCUAAAUAGACAGCGUCGACUUUUGUCGGCGACCGUCCGCUUCUUAGAGGGACAAGCGGCUUUUAGCCGCGUGAAGCCGAGAGCAAUAACAGGUCAGUGAUGCCCUCAGAUGUUCGGGGCCGCACGCGCGCUACACUGUUUGCAUCAGCGUGUUUCUCCCGCGCCGGCUGGCGCGGGCAACCCGUUGAACCGCAAACGUGCUAGGGAUCGGAGAUUGCAAUUGUUCUCCGUGAACGAGGAAUUCCUUGUACUGGCGAGUCAUCAGCUCGCGGGGAAUCUGUCCCUGCCCUUUGUACACACCGCCCGUCGCUACUACCGAUUGAGUGGUUUAGUGAGGCUCACGGACUGCGAGUGGCAAACGGCGUCCUCGGGCGUCGCGUCGCGAGCGGAAAGUGAGACGAACUUGAUCACUUCUAGGAAGUA